rnacentral:rRNA from 1 species
UACGUAGGGGGCAAGCGUUGUCCGGAUUUAUUGGGCGUAAAGCGCACGCAGGCGGUCAUGUAAGUUCUGAGUGACAGGUGGUGGCUCAACUGCCACAGGUUUUGGAAAACUGCAUGACUUGAGGGCUUCAGAGGGACGCGGAAUUCCAGGUGGAGCGGUGAAAUGCGUAGAUAUCUGGAGGAACACCGGUGGCGAAGGCGGCAUCCUGGACCGGCAUUGACGCUGAGGCGCGAAAGCUAGGGGAGCAAACGGG